AACGAACGCUGGCGGCAGGCCUUACACAUGCAAGUCGAGCGCGCCCUUCGGGGUGAGCGGCGGACGGGUGAGUAACGCGUGGGAACGUGCCCUUCUCUGCGGAAUAGCCUCGGGAAACUGAGAGUAAUACCGCAUACGCCCUUUGGGGGAAAGAUUUAUCGGAGAAGGAUCGGCCCGCGUUGGAUUAGGUAGUUGGUGGGGUAAUGGCUCACCAAGCCGACGGUCCAUAGCUGGUUUGAGAGGAUGAUCAGCCACACUGGGACUGAGACACGGCCCAGACUCCUACGGGAGGCAGCAGUGGGGAAUCUUAGACAAUGGGGGCAACCCUGAUCUAGCCAUGCCGCGUGAGUGAUGAAGGCCUUAGGGUUGUAAAGCUCUUUCAGCUGGGAAGAUAAUGACGGUACCAGCAGAAGAAGCCCCGGCUAACUCCGUGCCAGCCGCCGCGGUAA
rnacentral:rRNA from 1 species